rnacentral:lncRNA from 12 species
CGCCGAGGGCGGGGCUGGGGCUGGGCCCCGGGCGGAGCCGAGGGCGGGGGGAGGUGGGCGGAGCGGGGCUGGGAAGCGGCGCGGCCGAGGGGCUGCAGGAAAGUUGCGGGGAUCGGAGCGGCAGCAGCCGCGGAGCCGCGGGAGUGGGGACCGCCCCGCGGGGGCAGAGCGGGCGGCGCGCACCGGGGCGGCAGGGAGCGCCCCAGACCCGUCUCCCGGGGAUGUGUGGGGCCCCGAGCCUGGUGCGGGCGCGCGGCCGGGCACAGGUGACAGAAGAAGCCCACCUUGGCUCAGUGAGGCUGACAGCCUAACUCCUCUGUGAGCUGCUUUCCACAUGGAUAUGAGCGAGGAGCAAUGUGGCCUGCUGCUUGGGGCCAUCUGGGUUGGAACCCCAGCACGUACUCCCCAGCCCUCCAACUUUGGAUGAGUCACAAACCUCUCAACCUUGGUCUCCUGCUGUGUCCAAGACCCAGCCCUCCUCUGUGUAAGGCUCACUCCUAGGCCACGUGGAUACAGCAGAACCAGGGCCAACCAAGUUCCACUCAAGGCGUUUACACUGUGGUGGGAAAGUCAGGAUAUGAAGAACAGGAGUCCUGGUAAGGCGGAACAGAAUUAUCAGCGGGGCUUGGGUCAUGAGGAGAGCUCAUCAGAAAAUGUGCUUUAGAAAGAUUUGCUGUGGGAUCCCUGGGUGGCUCAGUGAGUGGUUGAGUGCCUUCAGCUCAGGGCAUGAUCCCGGGAUCCUGGGAUCAAGUCCCGCAUCGGGCUACCUGCAGGGAGCCUGCUUCUCCCU